GGCUGGGUGGCGUAGUCGGUUAUCACGCUAGUCUCACAUGCUAGAGGAUCCAGGUUCGAAUCCGGGCUCAGACA